CACCCCGGACGACCGUGGUGCAGACCGAAUAGCGGCGGGACGACCCGC
rfam:Pseudomonas alcaligenes NBRC 14159 DNA, contig: PA6005.